GACGAACGCUGGCGGCGUGCUUAACACAUGCAAGUCGAACGGAAAGGCCCUGCUUUUGUGGGGUGCUCGAGUGGCGAACGGGUGAGUAACACGUGAGUAACCUGCCCUUGACUUUGGGAUAACUUCAGGAAACUGGGGCUAAUACCGGAUAGGAGCUCCUGCUGCAUGGUGGGGGUUGGAAAGUUUCGGCGGUUGGGGAUGGACUCGCGGCUUAUCAGCUUGUUGGUGGGGUAGUGGCUUACCAAGGCUUUGACGGGUAGCCGGCCUGAGAGGGUGACCGGCCACAUUGGGACUGAGAUACGGCCCAGACUCCUACGGGAGGCAGCAGUGGGGAAUAUUGCACAAUGGGCGGAAGCCUGAUGCAGCAACGCCGCGUGCGGGAUGACGGCCUUCGGGUUGUAAACCGCUUUCGCCUGUGACGAAGCGUGAGUGGCGGUAAUGGGUAAAGAAGCACCAGCUAACUACGUG
rnacentral:rRNA from 1 species